GUAGCACGGCAGCGCGGGGUAACCUGGCGGCGAGUGGCGAACGGGUGAGUAAUACAUCGGAACGUACCCUGUGAUGGGGGAUAACUACGCGAAAGCGUAGCUAAUACCGCAUACGACCUACGGGUGAAAGUGGGGGAUCGCAAGACCUCACGUCAUAGGAGCGGCCGAUGGCGGAUUAGCUAGUUGGUGAGGUAAAGGCUUACCAAGGCAACGAUCCGUAGCUGGUCUGAGAGGACGACCAGCCACACUGGGACUGAGACACGGCCCAGACUCCUACGGGAGGCAGCAGUGGGGAAUCUUGGACAAUGGGGGCAACCCUGAUCCAGCAAUGCCGCGUGUGGGAUGAAGGCCUUCGGGUUGUAAACCACUUUUGGCGGGGGCGAAAUAUCGAGUGCUAAUACCAUUCGGUGAUGACGGUACCCGCAGAAUAAGCACCGGCUAACUACGUGCCAGCAGCCCC
rnacentral:rRNA from 1 species